AAGUUUAACUUGAUCUGCAGUAUUG
rnacentral:piRNA from 1 species